UWUUUGAAGAUAUAAAAAGUCUAACCUGCCCMCUGAUGUAAAUGUUUAAGGGCCGCGGUAUUYUAACCGUGCAAAGGUAGCAUAAUCAUUAGGUUUUUAAAUGGGAUCUUGUAUGAAUGGUUGAACAAAAGAAAAACUGUCUUUAAGUUAAAAUUUGAAUUUAACUUUUAAGUGAGAAGGCUUAAAUGAUUUAGAGGGACGAUAAGACCCUAUAAAGCUUUACAUUAAAAUUAUAUUUUAUUGAAUUUAAUAAUAAAAGUUUAAUUUAAUUAUUUGUUUUAUUGGGGAGAUAAAAGUAAAAUUUAUGUUAACUGCUUUUUUAAAAAACAAUAAUAGGUGAUUAAAAUUUAAUAGAUCCUAAAUAUAGAUUAAAAGAUUAAGUUACUUUAGGGAUAACAGUGUUAUUUUUUUUAAGAGUUCAUAUCGAAAAAAAAGUUUGCAACCUCGAUGUUGAAUUAAGAUAUCUAUAUAAUGUAGUCGUUAUAUAAGAAG
rnacentral:rRNA from 1 species